GAACUUUUAAAAUAACUUCAUAUUUUUUCAGGAAUGGCUUGCAAAGGAUGUCCAGUUUCUUCAGCUCAACACGAUGGAUAUCUUCCAAACACCUUCUCAGGAGAAACUCAAGCAAGGAGUGUCUUUCAUUAAAGGUUUUGAAAACACUGGAAAUAGUGUGUAUGUUCAUUGUAAGGCUGGUAGAACUCGUAGUGCGACGUUGGUUGGUUGCUAUCUGAUGGAGAAACAUGGAUGGAAUGCCGAACAAGCAGUGGAAUUUAUUCGUACAAGACGUCACCAUAUUCUGUUGGGAAAAGUACAGUGGAAAGCAUUACAAUUAUAUCAUUGGAAACACGUACAAAAAUAACUCGUUUGUAUCUAGAUGUGUGGAUUAUUCCUCACCUCUGUGUUGAAACAGUUUUUGUGCAAUAUUAAUAUGUACAAAUAUAAGUGUUGAUACUUAUUUAUAACCACCAGCUGCUUUUAACCAAAAGUAAGGUUCAUCAGUAUUUGAGUGUUCAGUAACCAUGUAAGUUCAAUUAUUUAAUUUUAUUAUUUACUAUGAAAUGGCUCAGGAAUCAAAAACCAAAAAAUUUUUACUUGUGCAUGUAUAGAAAUAUGAAGAGCAGUAAGUAUUUUGAAAAUUAAGUCUGGGAGAAGGGGAGAGAGGGGGGGUGAUCCUUAUUAACCAGUCAAACAUCUUUUGAAAUGUCUUAAGUCAAAUAUGGUUAAAGUUAGUGGAUGGAAAGCUAUCUAAUAUGGUUAUAGUUAGUGGAUGGAGAGAUAUCUAAUAUGGUUAAAGUUAGUGGAUUGAAAGCUAUCUAAUAUGGUUAUAGUUAAUGGAUGCAAAGCUAUCUAAUAUGGUUAAAGUUAGUGCAUGGAAAGCUAUAUAAUAUGGUUAAAGUUAGUGGAUGGAGAGAUAUCUAAUAUGGUUAAAGUUAGUGGAUGGAAAGCUGUCUAAUAUGGUUAAAGUUAGUGGAUGGAAAGCUAUCUAAUAUGGUUAAAGUUAGUGGAUGGAGAGAUAUCUAAUAUGGUUAAAGUUAGUGGAUUGAAAGCUAUCUAAUAUGGAUAAAGUUAGUGGAUUGAAAGCUAUCUAAUAUGGUUAAAGUUAGUGGAUGGAAAGCUAUCUAAUGUGGUUAAAGUUAGUGGGUUGAAAGCUAUAUAAUAUGGUUAAAGUUAGUGGAUUGAAAGCUAUAUAAUAUGGUUAAAGUUAGUGGAUUGAAAGCUAUCUAAUAUGGUUAAAGUUAGUGGAUGGAAAGCUAUCUAAUAUGGAUAAGUUAUAAAGCUCAUUAAUAUCUUUUGAUAUAUUAUCUAUUCUUGUAAACAGUACUUUUAAUUAAUAAAAAAUAAACUUCUAUUUCUAUACUAUU